rnacentral:snRNA from 2 species
GUCCCUUCGGGGACAUCCGAUAAAAUUGGAACGAUACAGUAAGGAUGACACGCACAAAUCGAGAAAUGGUCCAAAUUUUU